ensembl:lncRNA
CUGCAAUUGCAGUCAUAGUUGCUGCCUGAUACAACUGUCAACAAUGUAGCAAGAAUGAGAGAAAGAAAGAAAGAAUGAAUGAAUGAAUGAUUUUUUUUUUAUUGUGUUAAGAAUGAAAGCUAGAAAGGCUAAUUUAGAAAAAAAAAGAAAAAGCUUCACUAAGAGAUAUUCCAGGAAUACUGGCCAUGAGGCAGGAAUACACCAUGGAUGGGGUGCUAGGUGAGCUGGGAGGAAACCAGGGAACCCGGAGGAUACCCACAGGGACACCGGGGGAACAUGCCGAUGUCCGGAUCGAACUGUGGCAAGUGGUUCUGAUGGCAGUGGUUUGAGUCACACCUGGAGGAAGUACACUCUUGGCAUUCCGCAAGGCUCAAUUCUCAGUCCUCCUUUACUUUCCCAUCUACAUUCAUCUGUAGACUUUGAGAAAUAAGAAAAGUAUUCCCAUUUGAAAAAGAUGCAGUAUCAACCAUAUGGUCCAUCAAACAUGCUUAACGUGAUCUCUUCCUUCCAGAGAGUGAAUUUUUAUGGCUCUUGCCUUACAGAGCACUUACAGAAACAAAACAAUUCAUAUCUGCAAUUGUGUGUGUGUGUGUGUAUACUUUCUCAUUCAUCAUAACCAAUACGCUGGGAUGCAUUUGGUUUAAAAGGGUCACUGUCGCAAAUCGAUCAACAGUGAUGCACUGUACUGAAAAUAAAUAAAUAAAUAAAUAAAUGAAAAUUCCGAUUGCUAUGGGACUAAAAGGCUUAAAAACUAAUGCUGGCUUUAGGCCGUAUUGAAUCAUUUUGAAUUUGCUGAGAACUUCUCCAUAGUUCAUCUCAAUAAAUCCCAGGAAAAUAACGGAGGGGGCAUUUUAUAUAGUUCAUUCCAUUAUUGUAAUUACUUCAGAUGUCCAAGUGAGGCCAAAAGCUAGGCUCCGGUUAAUGAACGAGCUGGGACAUAGGAGGACUUCCAUUUUAGCAACUUCUCUCCUAGCCUCGUGUUUUUUUUUUGUUUUUUUUUGUCCAAAAUUAAUCAAUACCUUCUUACCAAUCACCUUCAACAUUUAGUUUGAAAUAAAAGCAAGCAAGCAGACAAAUAAAUACAUAAACAUGUGUGUGUUUAUUAUGGUUAGUGCAUUUAUAUGGUGUGUGUGUGUGUGUGUAUAUAUGUAUGUAUGCGUAGUGUAUAUGGCAUGUAUUUGAUGUGUAGUAGU